GAUGGUGUGGUGGUGGUGAAGAAGAUGAAGGAGUGAAUGAGCGAGAGAAAGGUUUCGUCAAUGGGUGGCUCAGAAUCAGUGCAAAAGCAGAGACAGAGAGUGAGAGAGAGGAUCAGGGUUAAUUUCAUAUAAACACUAUCUUUAUUUCAAAUUAUAUCCAAAAAUUCUAGAUAUUUCAAAUUUACCUAUGACAGUAAUCAAUUUAUGUUAAAUUUAACUAAAAAAGUCAAAAAAAGAAAAAUGUGUAAUUCACCGUCCAUAAAAAUGGGGAAAGCUGAAUUUGUUGUCCAUAUACAUAAGAAAAUGUGCAAUGUAAUAUAUAUUAAUAAGAAUAUAAAAGAAAAUAUAGUUUAACUAAAUAAAUAAAUUUAAAUGUACUUUAACUAAAUAAAAUAAGAUUAAAUAUUUCAUUAUUCUAAAAAAAUUAAUUAUUCUUUUUAAUUAUUAUUAUUACUUUUUUUGGGGAAUUUUACUCCUUUGGUAUCCUCUUUCUUUUCUUUCCCUUUCUCGUCUACAAUUCGAUGCUGAUUCAUAUAUUCCAAUCAAAUAUGAGCGCUGCCUCUUAAAAUACAACUCUUUCAUUUUUGAGAAGAGAAAAAAAAAAAAAGAAAAAAAAAAGAAAAAAGAAAAAAAAGAGGCCGUUGAUCUGGUGCUAAUGGCUUCUUCAAUCAAGUUAAUGUUGUUUAGCCAAACAACAAAGGAAAGCAUAUGCACAAAAUCCACAGUUGUAGAAAAUAAAAAAAAAUUCUUUUUUAUGUAAAAGAGGAUUUAUGAACAAUUAAUUUUUUUGUUUUUCUUUUUCCAUUUAAUACGUGGUUUUGUUUUCUUUGGUUUUUUUUGUGUAGAAUCUUAGGAAUCGGAUAUGUUUAAGCUUUGGACGGGUUUUUCUGUUUCUUUACUGGGAUCUAAUUUUUUUUAUUUUUAUUUUUUCUAUUCUAUUUAAGUGGUCAUUUUGAUGUAUUUGAUUAUUAUGGGUAAUAGUCGACUUGGGAUUGAUGUUUACAAAAGUAAAUCUCUAAUUUUAUAAAACUAUUGUUAUAAUCGAUUUAAAAAUUAUUGCUAGAAUUUAUAUAAAAUUAUAUUGUUUAUGUCUUCUAGAUUUUGAUUAAGAGUUGUAAUAGUAGUCAAAUUAUUUUCCGAUUAAUUAGGUAACAGUUACUUAGCUUGCUUGGGUUGCACUUUUUAAACAACAUAGAUGACUGUAUAAAUCUCAAUAGUAGAUGUGGUUAGAGUUUUGGUCAAAUUGAUUCUCCUAUCAUGUAGCACCUAUCUACUUUUUAUAUAAAGUUAAUUUGGUUGCAAAUAUUGUGCGACUUAUUAUUUAAAAUUUUGUUAAAUAAUUCAAUGGCUAUUUUUUACAACUCCAUAAAUAGAAGCCUUCUUUUCCAUUUGAAAACACAAAAAAACGUUGAAAAACAACGAUUCUUUCUUCUUCUCUCAAAAUAUUCUUCUCUUAAAUCCUCCAUUUUUUUUAUUAUCAAAUUACAAAAUUAUUAUAAAUUUUUACUACUAUCAACUAUAUUUUUGGUAUAUAUAUAUAUAUAUAUAUUAAGCAUUCGUGGAAAUUGUUAACUGCACAUAAGAUUUCUGAAGAAUCGUUCUAUCUUGAGAGAGAAACGUUAGACAACUCAAUACAGAAUGAGGCGUAUAUUCUCCAUGGACAACACAUUUGCUUGCUUCGGUCAAACUAAACAGGUUAUCCUAAACUCUAAAUAAUUGUUUGUUAUUUUAUUAUUGUUGUUUAGCAUUUGGUUUUUGUAAGUGUAAUUUAGUUUUGCUAUUUGCUUUAUUUCCAACAUUCUUAGAGAAGAUAUUCGGUUAGGAUAUUUGUUUUCAUAGCAUUUUAUUUUACUAUAGCAUCUGUUGAUUCUGUUUUUUGGAAACCUGAAAUUUUUAUGGUCAAAAUUUCAAAUGUUGGCAAUAACAAAUGAAAUUUUGACUCACUACUUUGGGUCUUUAUUAUGUUAUUCUUAAAUCUUCAAAAGCAAAAGAAAAUGUUUAUAAAACUAUUGGUUCUUCUAAAUCUAUUGUAUCUUUAGAUUCUGGUAAGGAUUUCAGUAAGAAUUCUCAAACUGUUCCUACUGUUGAUAAUUAUGAUGGAAAAGCUAUGCUAUGCCAUGGUAGAAUUUUGAGCGCUUUAUUUGAAAAUAUUUAAUGUAUUUUACUAAAUUUGCUUUUAAAUUAUAGGAUGCAUUGGAACAAAAAAUAUGGGGUUGAGGAGCUUAGUUUUAAAAGAUAUUUUGUUGAAAAAAGGUUUGAUUUUCAUAUGGUUGAUGGUAAAUCUAUUUAUGAUCAAAUUCAUGAUUUUAAAAAUAUUGUUUUUGAUAUGAAAACUUUGAUUAAAAAUUUUCCUUCUUCUUGGUCCGAUUUUUGAAGAAUUCUAAAACAAAAAUUAGAAAAUUGUUUGUUUGUCUUAGGAUAGAAGACAAACAUCGUGACACUUUAAAAUCUUUCAAAAAUGAAUUUCAAACCAAAGCCCAUACCAUUGAAAAUUUGCAUAAACCAAAAACCAAAGAUUUUAAGGAAAUUAGUUUUAACAAAAACCAAAAUGCUAAUAAUUUAGAAAAUUAUUAUUCAGAAAAAGAUAGGUUCUUGUUGGGUUUGUGGCAAAACAAAUCAAAAGGUCAAAGAUUGUUUUUUUCAAAAAAGGAGUUACACAAAAUACUCAUGGAUCGUUUGGCACAAAACCACAAGCAUAUGUCCUGUUGACAAAUUCUUCCUCUCAUGCUAAUGCGUAUUUUAUAUCUAGCUCAUAAACAAAUUUUAGUUUUGAAUCAAUGAUUGGUGGAUUGAUUCAGGGGUUAAUGUUCAUGUUUGUUUUGAUAAAAAAUUAUUUUGCUUCAUAUCAGGAAUCAAACGCAAAAGCCAUAAGCAUGGAAAAUGGAAAUUUAGCUCGAAUAAUAGGAGAAGGACAAGUAAAAUUGAACUUUUCUUCUGACAAUUUUAUUAUUCUAGAUGGUAUUAAGCAUGUCCCAAGUAUUAGGAAAAAUUUAGUUAGUAUUUCUUUAUUGGUUCAAAAUGGUUACAAAGUUGUAUUUGAGUCAAAUGGAGUUAUAUUUAUGAAGAAUGUUUGUUUCAUUGAUAAAGGUUAUUUGUAUGAUGGUUUGUUUAAACUAUUAUUAAUUGCAAUAUGCAUGAUUUGUUUAUUUUUUAUACUUCUGUUGCGAAUGUUGAAUAUUCUAAUUUUUUUGAUAUGGUGGGCUUGGGCAUGUUAAUUUCCAUUCUAUUAAGAGAAUGAUGAAUUUAGAUCUUAUUCCAAAAUCUUCUUUUAUUUUUGAAAAAUGUAAUGUUUGUGCUCAAGUAAAAUAGCCUAGAAAACUUUUUAAAUCUAUUGAAAAAGAAACUACUUUGUUACAAUUAAUUCAUAGUGAUAUAUAUAUGUGAUUGCAACAAUAUUUUGACUUGUGGUGGUAAAUGUUAUUUUAUUAUUUUUAUUGAUGAUUUCUCUAAAUAUUAUUAUGUUUAUUUAAUUUAUUAUAAAAUUAAAUUAUUUGAUAUGUUCAAGGUUUAUAAGACCGAAGUAAAAAAUUAGUUUGAAAAGAAAAUAAAGAUUUUGAGAUUUAACAGAGGUGGUAAGUGUACUUCUAAUGAUUUGAAUGAAUUUUGUAAAUCACAUGCCAUUAGUCAUCAGGUAUCUGUACUUUAUUUAUCACAAUCAAAUGAUGCAUCUGAAAGGAAAAAUAGAACACUACUUGAUAUGGUAAAUUCUAUACUUAUUACUUUUGGUUUGCCUAAUAGUCUAUGGGGUGAAGUUCUGCAUAUUUAAUACUUAAUAGAAUACCUUAUAAAAAUUUUGAUAAAACUCCUUAUGAGCUUUGGAAAAAUAGGAAACCUAAUUUGAAAUUUCUCAAAGUGUAAGGGUGUUUUGCAAAGGUAAGUACUUCUGUAAACAAGAGAAAAUUUGAUUCUAAAACUACUGACUGUGUUUUAAUUGGUUAUUCUUUAAAUAGUAUUACUUAUAGAUUUUUUAUAUUAAAAUCUUAUAUUUUUUAUUUUUCUAUGAAUACUAUUAUAGAAUUUUGAGAUGCUACUUUUUUUGAAAAUAUUUUUCCAAUGAAAGAUAAAAUUUCAAAACAAGUUAGAGAAAACUCAACUUCUAAUUUUAUUCCUUUCGAAGAUCAAAUUAAACUUAAAAGGAGUAAAAGAAAUAAAGUUGAGAAAAAUUUUGGAAAUGAUUUUUUUAACCUUUUUGAUCGAAAAUGAUCCUAAAACUUUUAAUGAAGCCAUGAGUUCUCUAGAUGCUCAUUUUUGGAAAGAAUCUAUUAAUAGUGAAAUAGAUUCAAUAAUGAGCAAUAAUACAUGGAUUUUAAUUGAACUUCUUCAUGGUUGUAAAACAAUUGCGUGCAAAUGAAUUUUUAGAAAAAAAAAUUAAGAACUGAUGGCUCCAUUGAAAAAUUUAAAGCUAGACUUGUUGCAAGAGGUUUUAAACAAAAAGAAGGUAUUGAUUUCUUUGAUAUUUAUUCUCCUAUUACUAAAAUCACCACUAUUAGAGUUUUAAUUGCUUUGUUUGUCAUUUAUAAAUUAGAAAUUCACUAAAUGGAUGUCAAAACUGCUUUUUUGAAUGGUGAAUUAAAUGAAAAGAUUUACAUGGAUUAGCCUAAAGGUUUUGUUAGUCUUGGCCAAGAAAAGAAAGUUUGUAAAUUAGGUAAAUCUCUUUAUGGUUUAAAAUAAGUACUAAAGCAACGGCAUAAAAGGUUUGAUACUAUUAUUCUUUCUAGUGGUUUUGUUAUUAGUGAUGCUGAUAAAUGUGUUUAUAUUAAAUUGUUAGAAAAUGCAUGUGUAGUUCUUUGUUUAUAUGUAGAUAAUAUUCUUAUUUUCGGUACAAGUUUAAAUGUUAUUAAUAAUACAAAAUUGUUUUUGUCUAAGAAUUUUGAUAUGAAGGAUCUUGGCAUUGCUAAUGUUUUUUUAGGUAUGAAACUAAUAAAGUACGAUGCAGAUAUUACUUUUACACAUGAAUAUUAUACUGAAAAUUUAUUAAAAAAUAUUACUUUUACACACAAAUAUUAUACUAAAAAUUUAUUAAAAAAGUUGAACUUUUUUUAUGUGAAGCCUGUGUCUACACCUUUUUAUCCUAAUUUAAAAUUAACAAAAAAUAAAGGUGAUGUAGUAUCACAGCUUUUAUAUUCUCAAAUUAAUGGUUCCUUUAUGUAUUUAUCUAACUGCAUCAAUCUGAUGUUUCUUAUGCUGUUAAUAGAUUAAGCAGGUAUACUAGUAAUCCUAGUAGUAAUCAUUGGAUUGUUAUAGAAAGGAUCUUUAAAUAUCUUAAAGCUACAAUUGAUUAUGGUAUUAACUAUACUGGUUUUCCUGCAGUCUUGGAAGAUUUUUGUAAUGCUAACUGGAUAUCAAACUCAGAUGAAACUAAAGCCACAACUAGUUAUGUUUUUACUUUGGAUGAUGGUGCAAUAGCAUAAAAGUCAACAAAGAAGAUUGUAAUUUCAAGAUCUGAGAAUAAUAUUGUAGACCUGCUUACAAAAAGCUUAGUGCGGGGGCGAGUUAUUGAAUCAUCAAGGAGAAUGGGAUUGAAGGCUAUAAGUAUAGUCAUUACAAUGGACAUCCAACCUUUGUGAUUGGAAAUCCCAAGAAAAAAGGUUCAAUGGGUAAGAACGAAAUAGGAAUGUGACUAUGAAGCACUAUUUUAUAAUUGAGGAGAAUUUUCUAGUUCCAUUCCUAUGGUGAUAAUGCUUAAAAAUUGUGAUGGUAUAGGAAGAGUAUAACUCUGAAUGAAACCAAGGUAUGUACCUUUGCAGGGAGUUGAUCACAUACUUCCCUUGGAGGUUUCACCUAAAUGAGUAUCGUAGUGUGGUUGCUAUCGUGAGAAAUCAAGCUGCUCCUUAAAAUUACUCAUAACACAAGAUAUGUGUGCAUGACCAUUAAAGUGCAAACCAGACUAGAACUCAAGAAGAAUUACCGAUAUUGUGUGUAUUGUAAGUAAAAAUCUGGUUAAAAAAGCUAGUUCAAGACUUAAUUCACUAUGGUUCUUUCAGAUGGAAACGUAUAAAUGCUAAGUGUUAGAUCAAAUCUAGAAGGUACCUGCACCCAUUGUAUAGUAAAAAAAUGCUUAAAAUAUAUAUCUAUAUAUAUAUAUAGAGGCUAGCCUGAGGACUGACUGCAUGUGUUAUAUGAGGACAAAAAAUGUGAUCAAAAUGGUAGCCCUUCGAUUUGCACAGCUGGCAUCUAUGGCUUAGCUUCUUUGCAACUCUCACAUGAGAAUGGCUGGCCAAAUUUCCCCUAAGCCCUUCCUGCUCGCAGCAGCUCACAUUCCUGCUCUCACCAACUCGAAAGGACUUUGUCAAAAUUCCCAAUCACACCAGCAGCAACCAACAUUGUCAUCCUUGCAAACCCACCAGAUCACAGCACCAUUGCCACAACAUUGCCAUCCUUGCAAACGCACCAGCUCGCACCACGAUUGCCACCUUUCUCUGUACCCACCAGCUCGCACCUCUUCUACUAUGCGUGUCUAUAUUCUAGCUCUUCAUAUCUGUGAGUGAGUGAGUUUAUAUUUUAUAAUUUUUGUUUUUCCAUUCUGUUUUUAUGUUGGCGAUUCUAUGUAGUCUUGCAUAGUUGAAAUUGUUAAAUGUGGGAUUGUGAUUUGGGUUGAGAAAUAACUUGAACGAAGGCCAAUCUUCAUGAUGAUUUUCUAAAAUUUAGAAAAUGAUACUUUUCGCAGAAAGUUUGGAACCAUUUUUGCAGAAAAUGAUACCUUUCUUCAUUUCGCAGAAAGUUUGGAACCAUUUUCAAUUUUGUGAUUGUGUUUUUUUUUUUUGUUUAAUUUAGAAGCUAGCUUUUUUAAGUUUAUAGCAGGCAAAAAGUCUUAACCAUCAAGCACCAGAUAAUUAUACACAACUAUCCCUCUGAAACAUCGUAAAUGGUAAUGACCACUGGUGUUUAUAAUCAUUGAAUACUCGAUUCAAGGUUUGAUCAAGUAUAAAGAAUCAUACACUAAAUUUUGUGUUGGUGUUAUUUACUCACAUACAGGUUUCAUGGGUAUAGAAAUCAAUACAAAGACAUAAAAUGUUGAGAAAUGUAAUAAUAAUAAUAAUAAGGGUACCAGAAGAAGUUGAGUGAAAUUAAAGUGAUGGAAAAGGAAUUUUAUGGACAACUCAACCUUCUGAAGUACUACUAUGUUUUACUGCAAGGUGGAUUGGCCAGGCGCAUCCCAUUACUUCAAUGCAUUCAUGGACGAAAGGGAUAUUUGCACCACUUGUUUUUGGGGUAUACAAAUGGCCAAUCCAUGCAUGCUAUACAAGAGAAAAGAAGUUUGUUAUAAUUGGAACACCAAGUAAUUUUAUUUUGUAAUUCCUAUAUCCACACACACACACACACACACACACACACACAAAGACAUAUGUAUAUAUAUCCUGUUGUGUUCCAUUCCAAAAGUGCUUAGUUUAGUUUAGAAUAAGAAUUUUGAAUAAUUAUAAUCCCCUUAAUAUGCAUGACACAUAGAGUUAAUAGAUUAAAUUGAUGUCAUUGCUUUUUAUUUUUAUUCUUUUAAUAGCCUUUGCGUAGAUUAGUUAACCUUUCAUUGGUUAAAGCGCUAUGGAUCAAUAUUUUUUUUUCCCUUUAUCUAGCAAAGAUGUAAUUAUUUCAUUGUUUUGCAACUUAUAUUUUUUCAUUUUCAUAUGUACUAUUAACCUUUUCGAACCCCAUGAUUCAGAUUUAUAUAUUUAUUUUUUCUGUUGAUGCAUGCAUAUUUGUUUCUUUCAUUAUAUAGUGUGCUGGAUCAGCAACCAUAAUGCAAACUCAGCAGAUUUUGGCUGAAGUGCUUUAUUUUUUGCAACAUUUUUCUCUUCUAUUUAGAGACUAAACUUUCUUAAAAUACAAUAGAUUACCACCUCUCAUGAUGGUUUUGC